rnacentral:lncRNA from 1 species
AAAGGCAGAUUAUUUAUUUACAUGCAAACGCACAAGAAUCUUAAUACAAGAUCGCUAUAUAUGCUAUGAUCAAUGCGUUAUAAUCAAUUUCUUGUAGGACAUGUUUGCUGGUGGAACGGAUACCACUUACACUGCUCUAGAAUGGGCACUGACAGAGCUUAUAAAGCAUAGCAAAACUAUGAAAAAGGUGCAGGAAGAGGUGAGACGGAUUGCUGGAAGCAAAUCUUACAUUAAUGAAGAUCAUAUAGAGAAAAUGUUUUACCUCAAGGCAGUGAUAAAGGAGACUUUACGACUACACCCUCCAGUUCCAUUGCUGCUUCCGCGACAAGCAACAAAAGAUGUCCAGGUAGGAGGCUACAACAUUCCUGCCAAAUCCAGAGUUAUUAUCAAUGCGUGGGCAAUAGGGAGAGAUCCUGCUUCAUGGGAAGAACCAGAGAAAUUUAAACCUGAGAGGUUCCUGGACAACUGUUCAAGUUUCAAAGGGAAUGAUUUUCAGUUCAUUCCUUUCGGAGCUGGUAGAAGGGGGUGUCCUGGAGCUACAUUUGCUAUUGCAAUUGUUGAGCUUGUAUUGUCAAAUCUAUUGUACAAGUUUG